GACGAACGCUGGCGGCGUGCCUAACACAUGCAAGUCGAACGGAAACGCCCUGCUAUUGUGGGGUGCUCGAGUGGCGAACGGGUGAGUAACACGUGUGUAACCUGCCCUUGACUUUCGGAUGACUUCAGGAAACUGGGGCUAAUACCGGAUCGGAGCCCCUGCUGCAUGGUGGGGGUUGGAAAGUUUCGGCGGGUGGGGAUGGACUGGCGGCUUAUCAGCUUGUUGGUUGGGUAGUUGCUUACCAAGGCAUUGACGGGUAGGCGGCCUGAGAGGGUGGACGGGGACAAGAGGACUGCGGGAGGGAGCAGUCUGCAACGGGAGGCAACGGGGGGGAAUAUUGCACAAUGGGACCAAGUGUGAGGCAGCAACGCCGCGGGCGGGAUGCCGGCCUUUGGGUUGUAAACCGCUUUCGCCUGAGACGAAGCGGGAGUGACGGUAAUGGGUAAAGAAGCACCGGCUAACUACGUG
rnacentral:rRNA from 1 species